UUGGUUUUUCUUGCUUCUAGUAUGUAUCAUUUCCUGCAUACACAAGAAACACACCCUAAAAGCACUUUUACAGAAAAAUAAAACAAAACGCAAUAAAAGAAAAAUAAAACAAAAAUAAUUACAACCAAGUCAAAUUCAAUCAAUUCACACUACUAGAAAAAUAAACCUCGAGUCCCCGGCAACGGCGCCAAAAACUUGUUGAC
rnacentral:lncRNA from 1 species